UCCAGGUUAUCCCUGGCGGUCUCCUGCGAGUUCCACCUUUUCGGUAUGGCAACACAGGACAAGGGUUGCGCUCGUUGCGGGACUUAACCCAACAUCUCACGACACGAGCUGACGACAGCCAUGCAGCACCUCGACUCCAGUUCCUUGCGGAAAGUCUCUGUUUCCAAAGAUGGUCUGAAGCCGUUCGAGCCCAGGUAAGGUUCUUCGCGUUGCGUCGAAUUGAACCACAUGCUCCACCGCUUGUGCGGGCCCCCGUCAAUUCCUUUGAGUUUCAGCCUUGCGACUGUACUCCCCAGGCGGCAUAUUUAACGCGUUAGCUCCGGCACAGAUCAACUGAAUGACCCACACCAAAUAUGCAUCGUUUAGGGCGUGGACUAC
rnacentral:misc_RNA from 1 species